UAUCAUGGUUUUAAAGUCUCGUAAAGAACGCAUUCGCCUUAGGUAAUUACGAGUUACGUACCGUAUACGAAACAAAACGUGUGUCAAUGUAACAGAUAAAAUGUUCAGUACCUAAGUGACUCAUCUUAUUUACUCAACACUGGAAGUCCCUACAUACGCUAUAUAAAUAUCCGAGUUCAUAACAAUAUAUUUUAUUGGUCAUAAAUAAAGCCAGUAUGAAAUACUUAGCAAUUAUCUUUAUUGCUGUGUUGUUUGUGUCAGUUGCCGUAUCUGAAUCAGAUUGGCCACCAACAGAUUCAAUACCGGGACAUCUACGCUUUAAAAGAUCUUUCUGCAAAACGAAUAAACAAUGCCAUGACUUAUGCACAAAAGUACUUGCGUAUAAAAAGGGAACCUGUCAUCUCAUUUGCUUUUGUUCAUAAUGUUUGUAGGUUCGUAGAGAAAUAAAAAAAAGUGCGAAAGUUUUAUUAGUUUUAACUGUAUAUUUAAUUAUAAUAAAAAGUAACACUUUUA